rnacentral:rRNA from 1 species
UACAGAGGGUGCGAGCGUUGUUCGGAAUUAUUGGGCGUAAAGGGCGCGUAGGCGGUGCGGUAAGUCACCUGUGAAAUCUCCUGGCUCAACUGGGAGCUUGCAGGCGAAACUGCCGUGCUGGAGUGUGGGAGAGGUGCGUGGAAUUCCUGGUGUAGCGGUGAAAUGCGUAGAUAUCAGGAGGAACACCAAUAGCGAAGGCAGCUCGCUGGGACGGUACUGACGCUAAGGCGCGAAAGCGUGGGGAGCGAACAGG